CGCAAGGGAUCUCUGGACAGACUGCCCUGUGAAACGGGGAGGAAGGUGGGGAUGACGUCAAGUCAGUAUGGCCCUUACGGCCAGGGCUGCACACGUACUACAAUGCCCAGAACAGAAUGAACCGAGACCGCGAGGUGGAGGAAAUCGAUAAAUCUGGGCCCAGUUCGGAUCGGAGGCUGCAAUUCGCCUCCGUGAAGCCGGAAUCGCUAGUAAUGGCGCAUCAGCUACGGCGCCGUGAAUACGUUCCCGGGCCUUGUACACACCGCCCGUCACAUCAUGGGAGUCGUUUGUAGCCGAAGUACGCACGCUAACCGCAAGGAGGCAGCGUCCUACGCUAUGAGCGGUAACUGGGAUGAAGUCGUAACAAGGUAGCCGUAGGGGAACUGC
rnacentral:rRNA from 1 species